GAUUGCUGUAUCCAACUUAAAUUUUUAGAGGUGGAGAGAAUAUUUGUGAACUUGAUUUUGGCAUUGAUCGCAAGGGUUAUUACCUGUUUCCCUCAUUAUUGAUUGCACAUCUCCUAAUUGUGAAAUUAAUUUGUUAAGUAAUUUAAUACUGAGUGUCUCCAUUGUCCUUUGGCAUCUUCUCUCGUAACCUUCCUGCCACUUAUGAUGUUCCUUAAUGUUCCAGAACUAGGUUAGGUCAAUGGUUUAUGCAGUCUUCUAUUUCUUUGGUCAUAUUUUCAUCAAAAUGUGUGGAAUUUUGUUGGAUGACUAGCGUACUUUUUUCUUCCACUUGAUUCUUCUUCUUCUUCCUUUUUCCUUUUUUUUUUACCUAAAAGGAUUAAUUCUUCUUCACCAUCAAUGUUAGAUAAGAAAUCAAAUAAGCCUUUGACAUUUUUUUAAUUUUUUAACUCCAUGAUUCAUCAGCAUGGAUGCAUGAUCCACGUCAUGUGAUAUUUGUGAACUCGUUGAAGUUUACAAAUAUUUUUAAAUUUUAAAUUCUAAGUAGUGAUGUUCGUCCAGUACUGAAACUUGAUAUAUUGCUAUUUGUGAACUAGGUAUCCUUUGUGCCUGCACUUGUUGCUCCUUUGGUUGUCUAUCCAUUUGUGUCUUGGAUUUCCUUCUUGUGAUUCUGAAAUUUAGUGCUCAUAAUUGUAGUUAUCUGCAAGUGAUGAUAUCCUU
rnacentral:lncRNA from 1 species